UCCUUCUUUCUUCUUGUGUCUAGUGUUCCAACUAUUUCCCCAGUGUUUGUUUCUAAUGUUUAUAGGACUGCUUUCCUGGACCUUGUCUGUUUUGUUUGUUUUCGAUUUUCUGCCUGUUCCUCGUCAGAUUUGUUUGCCUGUAUUGGACUGCUUUCUGGUUUUGACCCCUUGCCUCCCUCACCAUCCGGUCAGAGGGAAGGGAGGAAUGAAAGAGACAAGAGAGAAGAGGAAAGAAAAGGAUGCAGAGGAGUCAGUAUUACCAGCAGUGUGAAGUGAGAUGGAUAAUACAUCAUGUCAUGGAGGUGGAGAUGAACACAGAAUGAACACAUAGGCCAAAUGAAAAUGAGUGCCAGAGCUUAUCAGACAAGGGGUUUAUUAAAAUUGUAGUGUCUGUGUAAUUUGUUACUGGCAGUAAAAAGUCUGCAGGAUAUGACUAAAAGUCUAGAUAUCUAUGUUUGAAAGCGCAAACGAAUGCCAAUCUGUCACUACACUGACUACACUGUAGAAAAAAUAGUGGUAGGGCUAUGGUGGCUGACUCUGCUAGUUCUGCAUGUAUUUCAUUUUUCACACUGUAUGAUACAUAAUAAACAAGUCACAGGAGAGUCUAUUCAUGUCCGGAGGAGCUGUAGACU